UACGGGGGGGGCAAGCGUUGUUCGGAAUUACUGGGCGUAAAGGGCUCGUAGGCGGCCAACUAAGUCGGACGUGAAAUCCCCAGGCUCAACCUGGGAACUGCGUCCGAUACUGGAUGGCUUGAAUUCGGGAGAGGGAUGCAGAAUUCCAGGUGUAGCGGUGAAAUGCGUAGAUAUCUGGAGGAUUACCGGUGGCGAAGGCGGCAUCCUGGACCGACAUUGACGCUGAGGAGCGAAAGCUAGGGGAGCAAACGGG
rnacentral:rRNA from 1 species